rnacentral:rRNA from 1 species
AACGAACGCUGGCGGCAUGCCUAACACAUGCAAGUCGAACGAAACCUUCGGGUCUAGUGGCGCACGGGUGCGUAACGCGUGGGAACCUUCCUUUAUGUUCGGCCUACCUCAGAGAAAUUUGUGCUAAUACCGGAUGAUAUCUUCUGACCAAAGAUUUAUCGCCUUUAGUUGGGCCCUCGUUGGAUUAGCUUGUUGUUUUGGUAAUGGCAUAUUAAGGCGACGAUCCAUAGCUGGUUUGAGAGAAUGAGCAGCGACACUGGGAGGGAGAAACGGCCGAGAAUCCUACGGGAGGCAGGAGUGGGGAAUAUAGGAAAAUGGGCGAAAGGCUGAUCGAGUAAUGACGCGAGAGUGAUGAAGGCAGUAGAGUAGAAAAGCGCAUGUAACCGAGAUGAUAAUGACAGUAUCGGGAGAAUAAGCUCCGGCUAACUACGUG